GCGCGCUUAGCAAUGCCAUCUUCAAUCUACUGCUACAUUUUGUGGAUAACGCGAGUAUUGGAGCGAGCUCCUGUACGGGCUAAUGGAUCCAAAUGACGGAGCUCAAUCUUGCUAACUGGGUAGUGGGCGUGACGCGCAAAAUUCAGCAACGAUUCCAAAGACACUAUUGAAUCCUAUGGUUCAAACUGCUUGUUUUGAUCAAGUGUUUAGAGGUUAGUUUUCGCGUAAACCCGUAAACAAAGGCAGACGGUUUAGUGUCAAGUGUCAACCUCCAGUCAAAUCCUGGAAAUUAAAUGGUUUUUGGAUUUAAAACUUCGAUUUAUCCUCAAGAAGUGAACUAGCAAUUUCCCCAAUAAUAAUGCCUGCUCAUUUCAGUUCGUGAGUGUCUUUUGUUUGAAGUUCAGCUCAUUGAGUUCCCAGCAGGAAUGUUGCAAUUCUCACCAGAAAGUGACAAUUUGCUCAUUGAAAUCUUAAGAUAAAGAUAAAAGGAAAGUAUGUGAGACUGCUUGUUAUCUUCCUGCCGAACGAUCGUAUUAGUGGAAUCCAAAUAUAAUGCUCUUAAUAGUUUCUGCUCAGCUCAUCCUGGAGACUGAUGUCCCUCUCCUCAAUGUCUUCAUUUCUGAAUACUUAUUUUCCAGCAAACGAAGGAAAAAGAAACAAACCAAGUCAUGGCGUCAUAAGAACAAAAUAUCCACAAAGAAACAUAUAAGAACAGACUCUUCUUAAUUCUUGAGAUGAACACAGUCUUUUAAAUUUCUGAGUACUACCGUCAAAAGAAGAGGGGAAACACUGGAAAAACAAAUGGCAAGUUUCAAGAACUGGUGCCUCUCACAACAACAUCACAAUAUUGCAAUCGAUAAAUCUUGUCAUUGCAGGACUCUCUGUAUUACAUGCAUCUGUGGAUGUGCAAGCUGUGUGGACGUGCGAAAUCUCCAUUGAAGAUGAGCCUUGUUCUUCUGGAAUUUGUAUAUUUUCAACAUUUCUCUCUGACUCAAAUACUUCACUGCUAGACAAGAAAGAAGAAGAAAAAUAGGAAUUAAGUGGUACGGUGUCAGUUGAAGAUGAAGUUGCAAGAUGAAGAGUUGGCACAGCGUCUGGGCUUAAAUGUCUUUGGCGAAGAGGAGACCACCCCAUUAUUCUGUCCAUGAAUUUUUUUCUUUUGACUAGAUACUUCUCCUCAAAGUGUUUACUGCAUAUUCUCACUGCAAAAAAAGAAGAUUGUUAUGCUUCCCACAUUAAAGUGCUUUAGUGAAUAAAAUUCAAUAACUGGUAGAUUUUGUACAUAAAUUAUUCCUCCCUUUUAUGAAAUCAGCUAUCUUGCCCUUGAAUCCUGCUUUGCCUAGAUAAUGAGGAAUGAAAAAACAAAAACUCUAAAAAGCUGCCAAAUAAAAGUAUUUCUCUCUCUUACCAUGCAUCCUGACAAGUUAAGGAAUGCAUCCAAAAUAUCCAAGAAUUUCUUUAUAUUUCUUUCAAGAAUUGCAUUUUAUUUCAGCUUCAAUAUUUUCUAUUUAUCAUGCAGAGAAAUCGUUGGGGCAGAAGAGGGGUCGCCAAUCAGCUAAUGUUUCAAAUGUCAUUCUCUGAAUUAGUUUUGUUAUGUCUAUUGUUUCAUUGAUGUGAUCGUUUAUCAUUGAUGAAAGUAAGAAAAUGUGUAUAGCUAUUGUAACAUUUAAAAAUUUUUGAUAAUACUUUAUUUAUUAUAAGACAAACUAGUUAAAAAAAUCGCUCUCAAAUCUUCUUUAAAAAUAUUUGUACCACAAGUGAAAAAAAUAAACAGGAAAUCUCAAGAAAAA